UUUUCCUACGGGGGGCAGCAGUGAGGAAUAUUGGUCAAUGGGCGGGAGCCUGAACCAGCCAAGCCGCGUGAAGGAAGAAGGCGGCAGGCGUCGUAAACUUCUUUUGUCGGGGAACAAAGGGCGCCACGUGUGGCGUUGUGAGUGUACCCGAAGAAAAAGCAUCGGCUAACUCCGUGCCAGCAGCCGCGGUAAUACGGAGGAUGCGAGCGUUAUCCGGAUUUAUUGGGUUUAAAGGGUGCGUAGGCGGGCCGGAAAGUCAGCGGUAAAAUCCCGUGGCUCAACCCCGGCGAGCCGU
rnacentral:rRNA from 1 species